rnacentral:rRNA from 1 species
AGUGAACGCUGGCGGCAGGCUUAACACAUGCAAGUCGAACGGUGCAGCAAUGCAUAGUGGCAAACGGGUGAGUAACACGUGGGAACAUACCUCAAAGUUCGGAACAACAGCGGGAAACUGCUGCUAAUACCGGAUACGCUCUACGGAGGAGAGAGUUAUCGCUUUGAGGUUGGCCCGCGGCGGAUUAGCUAGUUGGUGAGGUAAUGGCUCACCAAGGCAACGAUCUGUAGCUGGUCUGAGAGGACACUCAGCCACACUGGGACUGAGAUACGGGCCAGGCUCCGACGGGAGGCAGCAGUGGGGAAUAUUGGACAAGGGGCGAAAGCCUGAUCCAGCCAUGCCGCGGGAAUGAUGAAGGCCUUAGGGUUGUAAAGUUCUUUAAGUGGGGAAGAUAAUGACGGUACCCACAGAAUAAGCUCCGGCUAACUUCGUGCCAGCAGCCGCCGUAA